UAUACAUUUGCUUACUUUUUAAUGCUUUCUGUGGAUUUUGAAAUAUUAGAAAGUCCUCAGAAAAGUCCUUCAAUUGAAAGUCCGCAGCUUUUUGUAGGAGUGUCCUAUUGAAAAUGUUAAGUCACGUGCAAGUGCAGUUUGAAUUUUGGCAGCCAGGAGCUGCAUUGGUGUGCUACGACUUCUGCGUGUCAAUUGCUGCAUAUAUAAACAAGAGCGAACUCAAGAGACAGACCUUUAUCCUUAUUGCUGCAGCCAUCACUGCCUUGAGGCAGUAGAAGAGGACUUCUGCUUGCUCUGCAUCUCGGCACUGCCACACGUCUUUGCCACAGCGGAGUCACCUCCAGAGUGUACCUGCUGAAUCCAGCUGAAGACAAGGAGAUCUCGGCACAGCAGGGUUUUGUUUUCUUUUCAUGGGUGAAAACGUGGCUUGGAUUCUGUGCUACAGAGUAGAUCCAGCACCAUAGUGCGUGUCUGUGAGCUCUGAUGGCAGCUGCCACUUCACACAACUUGGUGACAUACGGGGAGUGUUGUAUUCAGAGGAAUUAUCCAUAGUCUGUACCAUUCCUGAUGUUCUGUUGGCUUUGUGUAGGUUCCUACAGUGUUGAAAGUGCAUUUUAAAUUUACUUUUUCAGGGCCUGCGUAUGUAGUGUUACACAGACUUCAAACACCUACCAUGAUUUCCCCUGUUUAGAAUAAAAACAUCUAUGACAUCUG